UGCCAGCCGCCGCGGUAAUACGGAGGGGGCUAGCGUUGUUCGGAUUUACUGGGCGUAAAGCGCACGUAGGCGGCGCGUCAAGUUAGAGGUGAAAGCCCUGGGCUCAACCUAGGAAUUGCCUUUAAUACUGACGUGCUUGAGGCCGGAAGAGGGUGACGGAAUUCCCAGUGUAGAGGUGAAAUUCGUAGAUAUUGGGAAGAACACCAGUGGCGAAGGCGGUCACCUGGUCCGGUACUGACGCUGAGGUGCGAAAGCGUGGGGAGCAAACAGGAUUAGAUA
rnacentral:rRNA from 1 species